CCUACGGGACGCACCAGUGGGGAAUAUUGCACAAUGGGCGCAAGCCUGAUGCAGCCAUGCCGCGUGUGUGAAGAAGGCCUUCGGGUUGUAAAGCACUUUCAGCGGGGAGGAAGGCGGUGAGGUUAAUAACCUCAUCGAUUGACGUUACCCGCAGAAGAAGCACCGGCUAACUCCGUGCCAGCAGCCGCGGUAAUACGGAGGGUGCAAGCGUUAAUCGGAAUUACUGGGCGUAAAGCGCACGCAGGCGGUCUGUCAAGUCGGAUGUGAAAUCCCCGGGCUCAACCUGGGGACUGCAUUCGAAACUGGCAGGCUAGAGUCUUGUAGAGGGGGGUAGAAUUCCAGGUGUAGCGGUGAAAUGCGUAGAGAUCUGGAGGAAUACCGGUGGCGAAGGCGGCCCCCUGGACAAAGACUGACGCUCAGGUGCGGAAGCGUGGGGAGCAAACAGGAUUAGAUACCCCCGUAG
rnacentral:rRNA from 1 species